rnacentral:tRNA from 1 species
GACCGCGAUAGCUCAGCUGGUAGAGCAUCUGCCCGGUAUGCGGAGAGUCGCCGGUUCGAUUCCGGCUCGCCUCGUCA